GGGAUAACAGAGGGAAACUUCUGAUAAUACUGGAUAAGUUAGUAUAUCGCAUGAUAUGCAAAUGAAAGCUACGGCACUAAAGGAGAGCUUUGCGUCCUAUUAGCUAGUUGGUAAGGUAAGAGCUUACCAAGGCGAUGAUAGGUAGCCGGCCUGAGAGGGUGGACGGCCACAAGGGGACUGAGAUACGGCCCUUACUCCUACGGGAGGCAGCAGG
rnacentral:rRNA from 1 species